GAUGAACGCUGGCGGCGUGCCUAAUACAUGCAAGUCGAGCGAACGGACGAGAAGCUUGCUUCUCUGAUGUUAGCGGCGGACGGGUGAGUAACACGUGGAUAACCUACCUAUAAGACUGGGAUAACUUCGGGAAACCGGAGCUAAUACCGGAUAAUAUUUUGAACCGCAUGGUUCAAAAGUGAAAGACGGUCUUGCUGUCACUUAUAGAUGGAUCCGCGCUGCAUUAGCUAGUUGGUAAGGUAACGGCUUACCAAGGCAACGAUGCAUAGCCGACCUGAGAGGGGGAUCGGCCAAACUGGAACUGAGACACGGUCCAGACUCCUACGGGAGGCAGCAGUAGGGAAUCUUCCGAAAUGGGCGAAAGCCUGACGGAGCAACGCCGCGUGAGUGAUGAAGGUCUUCGGAUCGUAAAACUCUGUUAUUAGGGAAGAACAAAUGUGUAAGUAACUGUGCACAUCUGGACGGUACCUAAUCAGAAAGCCACGGCUAACUACGU
rnacentral:rRNA from 1 species